UACGUAGGCAGCGAGCGUUGUUCGGAGUUACUGGGCGUAAAGGGUGCGUAGGCGGUUGUUUAAGUUUGGUGUGAAAUCUCCCGGCUCAACUGGGAGGGUGCGCCGAAUACUGAAUGACUAGAGUGCGGGAGAGGAGAGUGGAAUUCCUGGUGUAGCGGUGAAAUGCGUAGAUAUCAGGAGGAACACCGGUGGCGAAGGCGGCUACCUGGACAGAGUCUGACGCUGAGGCACGAAAGCUAGGGGAGCAAACAGG
rnacentral:rRNA from 1 species